UCUAAAUAUUUUGCUCACAGAUCAUUAUUAACAUUCUUUAUAUAAUUAAAUUUUAUUUACUCUCCCCAUUUUAUUAUUUUUAUUUUUAUUUUUAGCUGAAAAGACGUAAAGGCAGUCAGCCCAGUGGUGUUUCUGGAGAGGGAUUCCUUCAGAAAUGGAGAAGACAGAAAGCUGCGGAGGCAGAUAUAUGCAGCAGAUUGUUUGAGGAUAAGGCUGUAGCUCCAUCAUGCACAAGGACUCACCUCGUUAACUCUUUAUCCCCCGCACACACAGAAAUGGUCCCUGGAUCAGUGAUUAGACUUUGCAGUGGUUUGAUUUUUGCAGAAGAUGUAACUUUGUUUUAAUUAUAAGCUCAUAAUGAAUACAUUACAGAACCAGUGAUGAAAACAAUAGUUAAAAAUAGCGCUCCAUAUUAAAAAUAUAUUGAACACUUGACAUGCAUGU
rnacentral:lncRNA from 1 species